ensembl:lncRNA
CUGCCCGCGGGGGGCGGCCCCGGGCCCGGGCGGCCGGCGUGGGCGAGCCCGGGACUGAGCAGCAGGAGCGGGCCGACAGCCGGCGCUGGAGCGGGACCGGAGGCGCCCCUCCCAGGUCGCUGCCCGGGGCUCCGGGGCCGUGUGUACCCGGGAGCUUUCCAGCGGGCCUCGGUGGAGACGUGACCCUGCCAGGUGUUUGUGGGCACCUUUUUGAUCUUAUGUUCUCUGUGCAUUCCUGUGUCGCCGGAGAAGAGGACUCCGACCUCCGUGCCACUUGUCAUACGUGGCCGUGAGCUGUCUUCUGCCGCUGGUUGGAUACAGGCUGUUAACAUUUUUUUUUUUUUUUUUUUAAGAGUCAAGGUUUUUCUCCGUGGCAGGAGUUUACAGCUGUAUAAAAUUGUCAAUCCUUCUUUUUCGGGAGGAAAGCAUUAAAAACCUUGGAUAGUUAAGGGAUGAGUAUAAUGCAGACACAAUCAGGGAGUAUUUGUUGGCUGUUUUUUGAGAAAAGGAUUCAAGUUGAGGGCAUGUACACAGUGGAAAAAAAUGUUUAACACGAGCAUGUUAUAUUGAUUCCAGCUUUGUUCCUCCCUUUCCCAAACCCCAUUUUGUGUUGUUUCUCGCUUUUGGUGAUUCUGAUGUUUUCCAAGACUCGGGCGUCCUUUUCAUGGAAGGUUCAGUGUGUUCUGUCCUUUGUGGUGAAGGCUAAUGGAGGUCACGAGGGUACCAGACACUUCGGGUACAAUAUGCUUUGUAAUAUGCAGAAAAUGUCUGCUCUGUAUAGAUCCAGAUCACAUUUAAAGGUGUAAGUACAUCAUACCGGAGUGAUCGUGGACGUUGUGAAUAGAAAUAAUCACAACCUCUUCUUAAUUCCACAUGUCGUGUUAGCUAAGCACUUGCACUGUAUCUUAGUUUCUCUGAAUAGCAGCAAAAAUGCAUGUUUUAAUACUAGGGUUGUAGUGUGGCACUCCACGUUGAAUAAAAUGCAGUUUAAAUAGCAUCCCAAUUCCACAAUAUACUAAUUACUUACUACCAUUGGGAAGUGAUGAUAGAGGGUGAUAAAUUAUAGAUAUAUAGAAAAAAUAGUUGACACAUUUCCCAGAAUAUAACUGCACUUCAAUUUGCUGUAAUUUAGACAGUCUUAAUAUCAGUUUGGCUAACGCUAUACUUGUAAUUAUCUCUCCGAUCAUUUGGUAUCCACUCUUUAUGGAUUAAAGGUGUUAAGGAGAAUUAGGUUGCAAAACCUUUUCAAUUCAGGCAUUUGCUAAAAAGCUGGUGAAAAUAAAUUUAGAGGGUGGAGUUGGUUUUGCAGGAAUAGAGACUCAGAUUAAAUGGCACAAGGAAGUUAAACUGAAUGCUUCUAAAUAGGAUUGUGAGGUCUGCCAGUUUGGAUUCUGGGUUCACAAACACUAGUGGUUUCACCUGCAGACCACAAAUUCUAAUAGUGUUGCAAAGUUAUCACUUAAUUUCUUCUGAUCAGCUUUAAGUAACAUAUAUUUGGACAGAAACCCAGCUGAAGCAAGCAUUGAGAACUGUGAAGGUUUAUACUCGUUUUUAUAGAGGGAACACUGAGGAAUUAGUGCAUUAAUAAAGUUUAUUAGCAAAGACCAAGAUCUGUAUUUUCUAACUCCUCUAAUAAGUGUUCCCCACCCCCCCGAAAAGCACACAUCAUUUUAUAUAUCUUUAUGAUGUGUGUCCUUAUUAUAUUCUAAUGAGAUGAUAAUGUGCUCUUAGAAGAUUUAUCAUUUGAGAUGUGAAUGUUCCUGCGAGGAAAUUUUUCCUGUUCAUUUCCACAUUUAAAACAUUGUUUUAAGUGGAUAGGGAAUUGGUUCAUUAACUGAAUCUUGCUAAGCAAGCAGCAUCUGAUGCUUUGUAAUUUAUUGUGGCCCAGUGGUGUCUGAAGCCUUGUCACAAAAUAGAGAUGCCAGAAGGAACCUCUUGGGUUCUUUUAGACCAGUGUGUCUCAACUGCGUGUGAUUUUGCAUCCAAGGAGAUAUUUUCAGUUUCUGGACACAUUUUUGGUUGUUGCAACUUGGGGGUUGGUGGUGGGAGGAGGGAGUGUUACUGGCAUGGGACAGGUAGAGGCCAAGGAUGCUGCUAAACAUUCUAUAGUGCAUGGGGCAGCCCCAUAAACAACAAAGAAUUAUCUGGCUAAAAUGUCAGUAGUGCUGGGGUUGAGAAAUCCUGUUUUGGAGUGCCAGGUGGGAAACAAGAAGGUCCAGCUUCACUUCAGGCCUCUAUUUUCUUCAUGUGUAAAAUAGAAAUAAAAAUACCCACCUUGGCUAUCUUGCAAAGGUGUUGGGGAAAAUCAGGUAAAUAAUGCAUGGAAACUGUGAAGUGCUGCACAAAUGAUAACUACUAUGAAGACAUUUAAAAAAAAAUACAUAUAUAUAUUUUUGCUGAGGAAGAUUGGCCCUGAGCUAACGUCUGUGUCAGUCUUCCCCUAUUUUAUAUGUGGGUUGCUGCCACAGCAUGGCUGACAAGUGGUGUAGGCCCGCACCUGGAAUCUGAAUCCUCUAACCCGGGCCAUCGAAGCAGAGCACACCAAGCUUAACCACUGUGCCACAGGGCCAGCCCAUGAGGUGAUUUUUUAUAAAUGUCUUGCUAGGAUGGUAUACUGGUAGUUGAGGAAGAGGAUUAGUGUAAUGUGGUGAGUGAAAAGAUUGGAUAGUUUGGUAUUGAUUCCUUUGUUAUUUUUGGGGGGAAAGGGUUUAUUUAAUGCAGUUUUCAUAUUAUUAGAACAGACUUUUUAGCUCUGUAAUUUCUUUUAACAUAAAGAUUAUGUUCUCAUAACAAGAGGGAAAGCUCACUGUAGAAAAAUUAGAAUAUAUAGGAAAGCAGAAAGUAGAGGAGAAAAGGCAUCUGUGGUCUUCCCCUUCACCCUGCAAUGACAGUCAGGUUCUUCUAGACUUCCUUACUGUUAGAGUUGGUAAAAUCAGAAGAAGGGUUGAUGAUGGAAAAAGGGGGAGCAGCUGGUGAUGGGGGGGGGUGCCGUUUGUUUCUGUGCCCUUCGUUUUCUCUUUUUUAAUAAUUACGAGUUGCAGGUAAGUUCCGUCAGAGGAGACAGCGAAGUUGGUUCUUGUUUUCAUGCUUGUGGCUCACCUCGAGGCCUUGAUCUCGUUCCCCGUGCCGUUUCCUCUCUGUCGUGCUCCCCCCGCAUUCGGCUAGGUGUGCCACUGUUGCUUCCUGUCUCAAAAACCCUACGGUAACACGGGCUUUUAAGCAGCUGCCAUGUUGAAAUGACCGGCUUGCAGGGGCAGGAAGCUGCCUCCUCUGAGCAGUCUUCCCUCUGAAGGGCGCCAGCCUUCUUGGCCUUUGAGGCACGAGAAAGCCUACGACGCUAAGUUCAUUUCCGUGGUCUGUUUACCUCUAAGGGUUUAGGACCUGUGAUCCUCAGCAACUGGCAGUGGGCACACAUUUUUCCUAGGUGCUCUGUGAGCAGUUUGCGCAGCCCGAGGCAAGACCUGCUUUAGAAGCAAAAUGAAAAUUUCUUUAAGUUUACUCUAGCCAGAAGACAGAGCUGGGCUUUGUUGGGAUAUUUUUAAUCCGUCGUAACUGAAUUUGCUUAACAGUCGUAUCCACACAGCACGUUGUUCAGUCAUUUGUUCGUUCACGAGAGACUUGCUGAGCUCCCAGUCUGAGACUCAGAGUGAAUAAACAGACAGAACAAAAUAGGCGAGAACCCAUGCCCUCAUAGGGGUUACCGUCUACUGGGAGACCCUUGGGCCUGUUCAUUCCAAGUUCCUCAGUUGCAGAUUAUACACAUAUGAAUAAGUAAAUCCUGCUUUCUGAUUGUAAAAUCUUCCUAGAAACCUUCCUGGCCCUCCUUUAAAGUCUGAGGACUAAAAAGUACCUUCCCCUUUUUCAUCCUUUUUUUAUAUUAUGAUUAACUCAUUUUCUGUGUAUACAAACAUUUCUUCGGGACCCACUAAGUUCCUGGCAGAUGGAUAAGACUUCGUGUGGAAAUGAGCCUGCUGUAUGGAGCUGUAACAGUGGGGUGACGUUAUAGUAGGGUUUGAAAUUAAAAGCACCGGGACCCUUGAAGAGAGCUAAAACCCUGCUUGGAGCCCUUGUCCAAUGCUUUUUGGAAGAGGUUUCACUUGAGUUGGGCCUUGAGUGUGUAGGAGUUCUCUUGCUUAGGGGUGGGAAGGAAAUCUAGGCAGAGAUACAGUGUGAGCAGAGGCACAGAGGUGAGUGUGUACGUGGUGUGGGUGACACACUUGGAGGCAGCCACUGUGACGGAGAGGAGAGCAGUAGGAUGCAGCGGAAGGAGGUGAGGCUGGGCGUGUAGGGGGGGCUGGACAGCGAGGACUGGAGUCUGCUCAGGUCUGCGAGCAGUGUGAGGUUGGGGGCUGUGGCCUGUGUGGAGUGAAUGGGAAGCCAUUCAUCAUUUUUUUUUUUUUUUAAAGAUUUUAUUUUUUCCUUUUUCUCCCCAAAGCCCACCAGUACAUAGUUGUAUAUUCUUCGUUGUGGGUCCUUCUAGUUGUGGCAUGUGGGACGCUGCCUCAGCGUGGUCUGACGAGCAGUGCCAUGUCCACGCCCAGGAUUCGAACCAACGAAACACUGGGCUGCUUGCAGCGGAGCGUGCGAACUUAACCACUCGGCCACGGGGCCAGCCCCCAAGCCAUUCAUCAUUUUUGAGCUCAUGAAUAACCUCAUUAGCAAAUGGAACAGCUGUGAAGCCCUGAGAGUUGCAUAAAGGACCAGCUUCCGUUGACCAUCGUGCUGCUGUCUUCCUCCUCUCCAUCACAGAACAUAUUUCUUACUUACCCAUCACGUCUCAACCCUCCAGAAGACUGCUAGGAAACAGGAACUGCUUAGAGCCAGAGGAGGUUCCAGGAGGUGCGCAUAUGCUUUCCUUCUUUUCCUUUUAAUUUAUAGAGGACUUGUUGACAGUCUAACUGAUUUUCAAGUCAACAGGAGAUUAACAACAAGGAAUGUUAAGUUGUUGGGAGGAUGAAUGAGGAAGGCAUGUUCUCUGAGGCAGGCCGAGUUAAUUUUUAUCUUGGAAGUGAAUAAGGAGCAGAAGGUUUAUGAAAAGCAGAACCGUAACUCCAAAAGUGAAACAGAGUGGGUGGGGCCGUUCGGUGGAGGGGCAAAUGCCCUCGUAAAUACCCUGGCAAGUCGAAGGUGUCAGUGUCACAGCGCAGUACAGUAAGUGGUAUUGGUAGCCAUGACCAGGCCAUUAAGAAGUCCAGUUGUGGAGCAUAAUGGAAAUGAGGUGAGCGAGGUCUGGUCCCUAGCAGAAAAGGGCGACUGUGGGGGUUGGGAGGUUGGGGGGUGUGCAGGUGGUGGGUGGAGGUGGGGG